ACUCAAAGGAAUUGACGGGGGCCCGCACAAGCGGUGGAGCAUGUGGUUUAAUUCGAUGCAACGCGAAGAACCUUACCAAGCCUUGACAUGGAGACCGAUGGCGCAGAGAUGCGUCAGCCCUUCGGGGGGUCUCACACAGGUGGUGCAUGGUUGUCGUCAGCUCGUGUCGUGAGAUGUUGGGUUAAGUCCCGCAACGAGCGCAACCCUUACCUUUAGUAGCCAUCGAGUAGAGUCGGGCACUUUAGAGGGACUGCCGUUGAUAAAACGGAGGAAGGCGGGGAUGACGUCAAAUCAUCAUGCCCUUUAUGGCUUGGGCUACACACGUGCUACAAUGGACCUAACAAAGUGAAGCGAGAUAGCGAUAUUAAGCAAACCACAAAAAAGGGUCCUUAGUUCGGAUUGCAGUCUGCAACUCGACUGCAUGAAGCCGGAAUCGCUAGUAAUCGCGAAUCAUCAUGUCGCGGUGAAUACGUUCCCGGGCCUUGUACACACCGCCCGU
rnacentral:rRNA from 1 species